rnacentral:rRNA from 1 species
UAGGGAAUCUUGGACAAUGGGCGAAAGCCUGAUCCAGCCAUGCCGCGUGAGUGAUGAAGGCCUUAGGGUUGUAAAGCUCUUUCGCCAGGGAAGAUAAUGACGGUACCUGGAUAAGAAGCCCCGGCUAACUUCGUGCCAGCAGCCGCGGUAAUACGAAGGGGGCUAGCGUUGUUCGGACUUACUGGGCGUAAAGCGCACGUAGGCGGCUUUCCAAGUUGGAGGUGAAAUCCCCGGGCUUAACCCGGGAACUGCCUCCAAAACUGAAAGGCUAUGGUCCGAGAGAGGUGAGUGGAAUUUCCAGUGUAGAGGUGAAAUUCGUAGAUAUUGGAAAGAACACCAGUGGCGAAGGCGGCUCACUUGCUCGGUACUGACGCUGAGGUGCGACAGCGUGGGGAGCAAACA